UCGUUUCAUAUUCAAAUUUUUGUGAUAUUCGAGUUCUGAUUUUUGUUAACCCGGCACAAGCUAAGAAUCCGUUCAGGAGCAUACGCCGGAAAACAAACCUCAUUGCAUAUUCAAAUUAUUCGUUUCUUUUUCUUUGAAAUUGAAUACAAAAACAGUUAUCUGGGCUAAAAUAGAUAUUUUUAAUAAAUAUACAAGUUUAUUUUAAUAAACUUGUAUAUUUAUUAAGACAUCAGAAAUAAUAUGUGAUCCUUUACCCAGCUGUGUCAUAGCGAGAGUAACAGAUACCUGAGAGAUAAUAUAAUUUUUUUGCUUACAAGUCAUCAUUAGUGAUUCAUUUCUGAAAUCCUACUAGUCUUACUUUUUUGAAGAAGAUUCUUGUUAUAUUCUAAGGUUUGUUUAUUUUUGUCCUCCCCC